rnacentral:tmRNA from 2 species
GGGGCUGACUGGCUUUGACAGCGUGUAGAAGCGAUAAGUAAGCAUGCAGAGCUUUGAUGUUCAAGCUCUAUAAUCGCAAGAGCAUCGAACUAUAAUUGGCGAAAAUAACAAUUACGCUCUCGCUGCGUGAUCUGAAGAACAGUAGGAUCCCUUUAUCUCUUUCAAAGUGAAAGAGACGAGACAUCACUCCAUUGCCCCGUUCCGAGACGUUUGGACAAAGUGGUGCUAAGAAAUUCGGAAAUAGGAGUAGGGGAGUUCCGACUCUGCUCUGAAAAUAAGGAAAUAAGGUUAUGGUUGGCCGUCGUGAGCCUGCCACAACUCGAAAACCAAUUCACAGACUAAGCAUGUAGAAAGCCUAUUGGUUCCGCGUUUGGACGAGGGUUCAAUCCCCUCCAGCUCCACUU